rnacentral:rRNA from 1 species
UACGUAGGGUGCAAGCGUUGUCCGGAAUCAUUGGGCGUAAAGAGCUCGUAGGCGGUCUGUCGCGUCGGCUGUGAAAUCCCGGGGCUCAACCCCGGGCCUGCAGUCGAUACGGGCAGACUAGAGUUCGGUAGGGGAGACUGGAAUUCCUAGUGUAGAGGUGAAAUUCGUAGAUAUUAGGAAGAACAACCGGUGGCGAAGGCGGCCCAAGCUGGAUCGGUACUGACGGCUGAGGUGCGAA